rnacentral:rRNA from 1 species
UACGGAGGGUGCAAGCGUUAUCCGGAUUCACUGGGUUUAAAGGGUGCGUAGGCGGGCAGGUAAGUCAGUGGUGAAAUCUCCGAGCUUAACUCGGAAACUGCCGUUGAUACUACUUGUCUUGAAUAUUGUGGAGGUAAGCGGAAUAUGUCAUGUAGCGGUGAAAUGCUUAGAUAUGACAUAGAACACCAAUUGCGAAGGCAGCUUACUACACAAUGAUUGACGCUGAGGCACGAAAAGCGUGGGGAUCAAACAGG